rnacentral:rRNA from 1 species
AAGUCGUAACAAGGUUUCCGUAGGUAAGUAUACACCGUCGGCGAACCCUACGGCUCUUCUCCCUCCCCUUCUUUCGGCGCCUUUGGCUAAUCUUCCUGUGCUCUUUAGGUGAACCUGCGGAAGGAUCAUCA